CAACUUCUUGCAGCCUAUUUGGGAAUCAUGUUUCCCUCCUUCCCCCCCCCCCCCCCUCUCUCUCUCUCUCUCUUUCCACGGUAAUCGCGAACCGCGAGUGUACAUCAAUAUUUAUCGGUUUUAAUCGUUCAAAAUGAGGAUUUAUAAGGAUCUCAUCACAGGUGAUGAGAUGUUCUCUGACACCUACAAAAUGAAAUUAGUAGAUGAAGUUCUGUAUGAAGUCUACGGGAAGUAUGAGUCAAGGAAGCAUGGUGAAAUCCAAUUAGAUGGUUUCAAUCCAUCUGCCGAGGAGGCUGCAGAAGGUACAGAUGAAGCCACUGAAAGUGGAGUAGACGUUGUCCUCAACCACAGAUUGUGUGAAACCUUUGCAUUUGGAGAUAAGAAAUCAUACACCGCUUACUUGAAAGAUUAUAUGAAGAAAUUAUGUAGCAAAUUAGAAGAAACAAAUCCCGAUCAGGUUAAUGUUUUCAAAACAAACAUGAACAAAGUAAUGAAAGACAUUCUUGGAAGAUUUAAGGAAUUACAGUUCUUCACAGGAGAAUCAAUGGAUUGUGAUGGUAUGGUAGCUUUAAUGGAAUAUAGAGAUAUUGGUGGUGAAUCAGUGCCCGUUCUAAUGUUCUUCAAGCAUGGUCUCUUGGAGGAGAAAUUCUAGCACAAUUUAUACCUUUACCUCAAUUUACUGAAUCCAUUUUUACUCAUGUGUAUUUUAUAUAAAACAAGAAGCUUCCAUAAAUUAUCUGUUGUGCUGACUCAACUACUUUCCUGAUGGACUCCGCCGGUUUCUAUACGAAAAAUGUCUUCAAAAUGGCACAGUCAAGUCUUUGAAUGAAUAUAUUGUAACAUCAAAUCGGCACUAAUCUUAUCAUCUUUAUUCAAUGAAAUUCGAUUAAAACCGAUGCAACUUUUGCUAA